rnacentral:rRNA from 1 species
UAGCGUAUAUUAAAGUUGUUGCAGUUAGAACGCUCGUAGUCGGAUUUCGGGGCGGUGCGACCGGUCUGCCGAUGGGUACGCACUGGUCGUGUCGUCCUUCCUUCCGGAGACCGUGCCUACUCUUAACUGAGCGGGUGCGGGAGACGGAACGUUUACUUUGAAAAAAUCAGAGUGUUUCAAGCAGGCAGCUCGCUCUUGCAUGGAUUAGCAUGGGAUAAUGAAAUAGGACUUUGGUGCUAUUUUGUUGGUUUCGAACACCGAAGUAAUGAUGAGAAGGGACAGUCAGGGGCACUCGUAUUCCGCCGAGAGAGGUGAAAUUCUCAGACCAGCGGAAGACGAACCACUGCGAAAGCAUUUG